rnacentral:rRNA from 1 species
ACGUAGGUAAUUUACCUUUUAGUGGGGGAUAGCUCUGGGAAACCAGAAUUAAUACCGCAUAUACCAAACUUAAUUUUGAAUUAUUAGUAUCUAUUUAUUUAGAAAUUAAUAUUUUGAGAUACGAGUUUAGAAAAGAUGGCCUCUAUUUAUAAGCUGUCGCUUAAAGAUAAGCCUGCGUCCUAUUAGCUUGUUGGUGAGGUAAUGGCUCACCAAGGCAAUGAUAGGUAGGCGGCUUUAACGAGUGGUCGCCCACACUGGGAUUGAGAUACGGCCCAGACUCCUACGGGAGGCAGCAGUGGGGAAUAUUGCACAAUGGGCGCAAGCCUGAUGCAGCCAUGCCGCGUGUGUGAAGAAGGCCUUCGGGUUGUAAAGCACUUUCAGUAGAGAAGAAAUCCUUAAAGCCAAUACCUUUAAGUGUUGACGUUAUCUACAGAAGAAGCACUGGCUAACUCUGUGCCAGCAGCCGCGGUAAUACAGAGGG